AUGGGCAGCCGGCAAGGGGUGAGGCCCCGCCCCGUUGAUCCGGGGGACCAAUGGGAAGCCGGUACAGGAGCUGGGUUCUCCCCGAGGCCCCGCCCUGUCGACCCGGGUGACCGACGGGCAGCCGGCUAUGGAGCUGGCUCCGCCCCGGAGGCCCCGCCCUGUUGCUCAGACGUGCGCAGGAUGUGGGCCUUGCGGGCCGCCGUCCGCGGCGGCGCCUGGCUCUCUCGUGCGGUUCGCGGCUGCCGGCCCCCGAGGGCCGCCCUGCUGCCGCCGCCGCCCCGCCCCGAGCGCGCCCUUGCCGCUGUCCGCGGAGGCCUGGGGUGCUCGGAGGGGCCGGAGGGUGGGAGGGGCGGCCCACGUGCGGGUGGCCGGAGAAGCCGGGCUGACGGGGAGGAGGAGCCCGAAGAUGCGGAGGAGGAGGAAGACGAGGAGGAGCUUCUGAGGAGGGACCCGCUGCUGCCCUCGGGGACACAGCGCGUGUGCCUGGUUCACCCUGAGAUCAAGUGGGGGCCCGGGAAGCCGCAGGGGACCCGAGCCGAGUGGCAGGUGGCGGAGGCGCGAGCGCUGGUGUGCACGCUGGACGGCUGGUCGGUGGUGGCCACGAUGGUGGUGCCCACCAAGACGCCAGACAAGAAGCUCAUCUUCGGCAGAGGGACCUUGGAGCAGCUGACGGAGAGGAUCAGAGGGUCCCCGGAAAUCACCGCCGUCUUCCUGAACGUGGAGAGGCUGGCCACGCCCACCAAGAAAGACCUGGAAGCCGCCUGGCGCGUGCCGGUGUUUGACCGGUUCACCUUGGUUCUUCACAUAUUCCGCUGCAAUGCCCGCACCAAGGAGGCGCGACUGCAGGUGGCGCUGGCCGAGCUCCCUGUGCUCAGGUGUGCUGAGGGUGAGAUGCGGUGGGUAGGGCUGCAAGCUUGUGGCCGCGGGUCCCAUGUGUCCCACGUGAAAAGCAAUGCUGCCCACCUGGGCGGACGCGGACGGAGCUCUCGCUACACCAUGGGGUCAGGGGAGUCCUUCCUGCAGGUGCAGCAGCGUCUCCUGAGAGACAGGGAAACCAAGAUCCAGAAGGCCCUGGAGAGACUCCGCCGCAAGAGGCGCCUUCUAGGGCAGCAGCGGAGGCGGAGGGAGUUCCCGGUGGUCUCUGUAGUGGGAUACACGAACUGUGGGAAAACCACGCUGAUCAAGGCCCUGACCGGGGACACUGCCAUACAGCCCCGGGACCAGCUGUUUGCAACGCUCGACGUCACGGCCCACGCAGGGCGGCUGCCCUCUGCACUGACGGUCCUUUACAUGGACACCAUCGGCUUUCUCUCCCAGCUGCCCCACAGCCUGGUCGAGUCCUUCUCGGCCACCCUGCAGGACGUGGCCCAUUCGGAUCUGAUCGUCCACGUCAGAGAUGUGAGCCACCCCGAGACGGAGCUGCAGAAGGCCAGUGUCCUGUCAGCCCUGGGAGGGCUGGGCCUGCCAGACGCCCUCCUGGAGAGCAUGGUGGAAGUCCACAACAAAGUGGACCUGGUGCCCGGGUACACACCCGUGGAGCCCGACGUCCUGGCUGUGUCUGCCCUCCUGGGGCUCGGGCUGGAUGAGCUGAUGGCCAGGGUGGAGGACGCCAUCCUGCGAGCCACGGGGAGACGGACCCUCACCCUGCGCGUGCGGCUGGCGGGACCGCAGCUGAGCUGGCUUCACCAGGAGGCCACGGUGCAGGCGGUGGACGUGAUCCCCGAGGCCGGGGCUGCCGACGUGAAAGUCAUCAUCAGUGACUCUGCUUACGGAAGUGUCCAGGGAGUGAUUAAAACAGGAACCCAGCAAGCGGGAAGGAGCUGCUCGUUAACAGGGCCCAGCACACAGAGCCCACUGCGCGGGCGUCAGGUGUUUCCACCUAAAGGAAAAUACAAGUUCGGGCUUCUUGUUGACAGCCACAUCCUGCUGGGGUGGAGAAGCGGGGCUGCGGAAGGGCCGGGAGCAGAGCCCCCUCUCAGAGCGAUGAACAGACCGGGGAGCCAGGCAGCCAGGGCCUCAGGGCACCUGUGCCUCCGGCUGCUCCCGUUCAUUCAGCUCAGCCCCUGCUGGUCUCCAUCCUCCUGGGUCUGCUAGGUGGGGUGGACAGGCGCUAACCCUAACCCCAGUGGGUGGUGAGCAUGUGACUUGGGAUGAACCCCCCAGGCUCCUGGGGUCCAGCCGCCCUCAGCAGGCCAGGGCUGCCCUGGGGGUGCCCACAUGGUCCCAGGGCCCCCACAGUCAUGGUGUCUUCCAGGAUCCCCAGGGCUUGGCCACCCAGUUCCUCCCAGCUCCAUUCCCAACUCCUCCCAGUCUGCAGGACACAGGAAGGACAGUGCAGGUCACUUCUGGCCUCUGGUCCCCUCUCCUCCCAGCAUCCCCCCACCUGCUCCCCGGGGUUCCUCCCAGUCCUAUAAGCUGUACCCCAAGAACUCAGGGGAGCAGAGCUCACCUCAGAGCUGCCGCAGACACAGGCAGGUGACUGCUGGGCCUGACAGGGCUUAGCAGCUGAGACUCCAGGUUCUACAGGACAGGCUUCAGCAGCUGAAACUCGCAGGUUCUACAGGACAGGGCUCAGCAGCUGAGACUCCAGGUUCUGCAGGACAGGGCUCAGCAGCUGAGACUCCAGGUUCUGCAGGACAGGGCUCAGCAGCUGAGACUCCAGGUUCUGCAGGACAGGGCUCAGCAGCUGAGACUCCAGGUUCUGCAGGACAGGGCUCAGCAGCUGAGACUGCAGGUUCUGCAGGACGGGGCUCAGCAGCUGAGACUGCAGGUUCUGCAGGACGGGGCUCAGCAGCUGUGGGGCAUAGGGUGGGCUGCUGCACAGCAUGUGGGAAACUUCCUGGAUCAGGGAGAGACCUCACGUCUCCUGCAUUGGCAGAUGGAUUUGCCGAGCUGUCGGGGAAGCCCUGGUUUCUUUUCCGACCCAGUAGCCGUGCACUGUGCUCCAUCAGCCUUGGACUUUCAAGGAUACUUCCAGGAUUAUCAUGAAAGUUGCUAGCAACCUCUCAGUUGUCUGGUCACAAAAUGGGACUUCCCUGGGGGUCCAGCGGUUCACAUUCUGUGCUUCCAAUGCACGGGGUGGUGAUGCCAUCCAACCUUCUCAUCCUCAGCUGCCCCCUUCUCCUGCUGCCCUCAGUCUUUCCCAGCACUGGGGUCUUUCCCAAAGAGUUGGCUCUUUCCAUCAGGAGGCCAAAAUAUUGGAGUUUUAGCAUCAGUCUUUCCAAUGAAUAAUCAGGGUUGAUGUCCUUUGGGAUUGACUGCUUUGAUCUCCUUGCUGUUCAAGGGAUUCUCAAGAGUGUUUUCCAGGCUCACAGUUGGAAACCAUCAAUUCUUCAGCGCUCAGCCUGCCUUAUGGUUCCAUUCUCACAUCUGUGCGUGACUUCCAGAGAAGCCAUCGCUUUGCUUAUAGACCGCUGUCGGCAAAGUGAUGUCUCUGCUCUUUAGCACUCUAUCUAGGUUUGUCACAGCUUUUCUUCCAAGGAGCAAGCAUCUUUUAAUUUCGUGGCUGCAGUCACCAUCCACAGUGAUUUUGGAGCCCAGGAAAAUAGUCUGUCACUGUUUCCAUUGUUUCUUCAUCUUUUUGCCUUGAAGUGAUGGGACCUGAUACAUGAUCUUAGUUUUUUGAAUGCCAGCUUUUUCACUUCUCUCUUUCACCCUCAUCAAGAGGCUCUUUAGUUCCUCUUCACUGUCUGCCAUUAGGGUGGUGUUAUCUGCAUGUAUUGUUGCCGUUUCUCCCAGCAAUCUUGAUUCCAGCUUGUGCUUCUUCCAGCCCAUCUAUGAUGUACUCUGCAUAUAAGUUAAAUAAGCAGGGUGGCAGUGUACAGCCUUGACAUACUCCUUUCCCAAUUUUGAACCAGUCGGUUGUUCCAUGUCCAGUUCUAACUUGCUUGACCUGCAUACAGCCUUCUCAGGAGCAGGUAAGUUAGUCUGGUAUUCCCAUCUCUUGAAGAAUUCUCCACAGUCUGUUGUGAUUCACACAGGCAAAGGCUUUUGUGUAGUCAAUGAAGCAGAUGUUUUACUGGAUCUGUGAGCCAACAGAUGUUGGCAGUUUGAUCUCUGGUUCCUCUGCCUUUUCUAAACCAGGCUUAUACAUCUGAAGUUCUCGGUUCACAUACCGUUGAAGCCUAGCUUUAAGGAUUUAGAGCAUUACCUUGCUAGCAUGUGAAAUGAAUGCAGUUGUGUGGUAAUUUGAACAUUCUUUGGCAUUGCCCUUCUUUGGGAUUGAAAUGAAAACUGACCUUUUCCAGUCCUGUGGUCACUGCCAAGGUUUCCAAAGUUGCUGGCAUGUUGAGUGAAGCACUUUCACAGCACCAUCUUUUAGGAUUUGAAACAGCUCAGCUGGAAUUCCAUCACCUCCACUGUUUGUACUGUUGCUUCCUAAGGCCCACUUUGCACUCCAGGAUGUUUGGCUCUAGGUGAGUGAUCACACUCUUGUGGUUAUCCAAGUUAUUAAGACCUUUUGUUUGUUUUUUUUUUUAACAGUUCUUCUGUGUAUCCUUGCUAGCUCUCCUUAGUAUCUUCUGCUUUAGUUAGGCCCAUACCAUUUCUGUCCUUUAUUGUGCCCGUCUUUGUAUGAAAUAGUCCCUUGGUAUCUCCAAUUUUCUUGAAGAGAUCUCCAGUCUUUCCCAUUCUAUUGUUUUCCUGUUUCUUUGCUUUAUUCAAAUCCCUUGUGAUUAUACAGUGGAAGUGACAAAUAGAUUCAAGGGGUAGAUCGUGCACACAGAGUACCAGACCUAUGGCCCCAGGUUCCUAACACUGCACAGGAGGUGGUGAUCAGAAGCACCCACAAGAAAAAUAAAUGCAAAAAGGCAAACUGGUUGUCUGAGGAG
rnacentral:lncRNA from 1 species